GCAUUAGUAGCUUAAGAUUUAGAGUACCGGUCUUGUAAACCGGCUGGUGAAGGUUAAAUUCCUUCCUAUUGCU
rnacentral:tRNA from 1 species